rnacentral:rRNA from 1 species
GACGAACGCUGGCGGCGUGCCUAACACAUGCAAGUCGUACGGUAAGGGCAUAUAGGGGGUUCACGAGCGGCGGACGGGUGGGUAACACGUGAGUAACCUGGAAACAGCUUUAGGAUAGGGGUAGGAAACUGGUAACAGUACUGGAUACGUGAUACUGCUGCAUGGUGGAGGUGGGGGAGCUUCGGCGGUUGUGGAUGGAGUCGCGGCCUGUCAGCUUGUGGGUGGGGUAGUGGCCUACCAAGGCGGCGACGGGUAGCCGGCCUGGGAGGGUGACCGGCCACAUUGGGACUGAGAGACGGCCCAGACUCCGACGGGAGGCAGCAGUGGGGAAUAGGGCACAAUGGGCGCAAGCCUGAUGCAGCAACGCCGCGUGCGGGAUGACGGCCUUCGGGUUGUAAACCGCAUUCAGCAGGGACGAAGCUUUUUGUGACGGUACCUGCAGAAGAAGCACCGGCUAACUACGUG